GACGAACCGAGCGAACGUUGUUCGGAAUCACUGGGCUUAAAGGGCGCGUAGGCGGGUGCUCAAGUCCGUGGUGAAAUCCUCCGGCUCAACCGGAGAACUGCCUCGGAUACUGGGCGUCUCGAGUGUGGUAGGGGUAUGCGGAACUAUCGGUGGAGCGGUGAAAUGCGUAGAGAUCGGAAAGAACACCAACGGCGAAAGCACUCUGCUGGGCCGACACUGACACUGAGAGACGAAAGCUAGGGGAGCGAAUGGG
rnacentral:rRNA from 1 species